rnacentral:tRNA from 1 species
GCACCCUUAGCUCAGUUGGCAGAGCAACUGACUCUUAAUCAGUGGGUCUAGGGUUCGAAUCCCUAAGGGUGUA